rnacentral:rRNA from 1 species
GUAGGGAAUAUUGCGCAAUGGACGAAAGUCUGACGCAGCGACGCCGCGUGAGUGAUGAAGGCCUUAGGGUCGUAAAGCUCUGUUGAAUGGGAAGAAAAAAAUGACGGUACCAUUCGAGGAAGGACCGGCUAACUUCGUGCCAGCAGCCGCGGUAAUACGAGGGGUCCUAGCGUUGUUCGGAAUCAUUGGGCGUAAAGGGUGUGUAGGUGGCCAUGUAAGUCAGGUGUGAGAGCCCCGGGCUCAACCCGGGAAGUGCACUUGAUACUGCGUGGCUUGAGUACCGAAGAGGGUAGUGGAAUUCCAGGUGUAGUGGUGAAAUACGUAGAUAUCUGGAGGAACACCGGUGGCGAAGGCGGCUACCUGGUCGAGUACUGACACUGAGACACGAAAGCAUGGGGAUCAAACAGGAUUAGAUACCCGAGUAGUCC